UAAUACGGAGGGUGCAAGCGUUAUCCGGAUUCACUGGGUUUAAAGGGUGCGUAGGUGGGUUGGUAAGUCAGUGGUGAAAUCUCCGUGCUUAACAUGGAAACUGCCAUUGAUACUACUGGUCUUGAAUUUUCUGGAGGAUAGCGGAAUAUGUCAUGUAGCGGUGAAAUGCUUAGAUAUGACAUAGAACACCAAUUGCGAAGGCAGCUAUCUACAGGGAUAUUGACACUGAGGCACGAAAGCGUGGGGAUCAAACAGGAUUAGAUACCCUGGUAGUCCACGCCCUAAACGAUGGAUACUCGACAUUUGUGAUACACAAUAAGUGUCUGAGCGAAAGCAUUAAGUAUCCCACCUGGGAAGUACGACCGCAAGGUUG
rnacentral:rRNA from 1 species